UACGGGGGGGGUAAGCGUUGUUCGGAAUUAUUGGGCGUAAAGGGCUCGUAGGCGGUUUGUCGCGUCGGGAGUGAAAACUCAGGGCUUAACCCUGAGCCUGCUUCCGAUACGGGCAGACUAGAGGUAUGCAGGGGAGAACGGAAUUCCUGGUGUAGCGGUGAAAUGCGCAGAUAUCAGGAGGAACACCGGUGGCGAAGGCGGUUCUCUGGGCAUUACCUGACGCUGAGGAGCGAAAGUGUGGGGAGCGAACAGG
rnacentral:rRNA from 1 species